ensembl:lncRNA
ACAUCAAAGACACACCUUAACGAACUUGACAGAAUGCAGGCUAAAAGUCUCAGAAUAUGUUGUGGUGCAUUUAGAACUUCUCCUGUACCAGCGCUGCAAGUAGAGACAGGAGAAAUGCCAUUACACCUCAGGCGUCUGAAAUUGAGUAUGGCUUAUUGGGUCAAUUUAAAAGGACAUAAUGCAUCUCAUCCUACUAAGGAGGUCCUUAAUGAAUGUUGGGAAUAUGGCAGGUCUCAGAUCUGUAGCUUUGGCUGGGAAGCUAACAGAUUAGCAAGUCAGUUGGAGAUAGAGGACAUAACAUGCAGUAAGACUUUGCCUCUGGCCACAACCUCACCUUGGUUAUUUAGUUCCCCUAGGGUGAUUAUAGAAACUAAAGAAAAUGUAGGGCAGUAUCUGAGUAUGUGCUACAAUACAACAAAAAUAUAUACAGACGCAUCAAAAGAUUGUGAGGGUAAGACUGGCAUAGGGGUGUAUAUUCCUGAAUCUGAUAUAUAUAUUAAAAAGAGGGCUACUGAUCAGUUAUCCAUUUUUGCAGCUGAAAUGGCAGCCAUCAUAAUUGCAUUGCAAUGGCUAGAAGAGACUAGGCUCCCUAAAGCAAUCAUUUGUUCUGACUCAAUGUCAUCUCUCAGUUCUAUUCAAAAUGGAGAAUCAACAUGUAGACAGGAUCUAUUGAAUGAAAUAAAUCAGAUCAUUUUUGCAAUUAAUCAACAGGGAAAGACAGUCCACUUUGUGUGGGUUCCUGCUCAUAAAGGUGUUCAAGGGAAUGAGGAAGCAGACAAGCUGGCAAAAGAGGCAACGAAAGAAGAGGAGGUUCAAUUAAACAUUCCACUCAGUAAGUCAGAGAUCAAGGUACUCAUCAAACAAAAAAUUAAUACAAUGUGGCAGUCUGAAUGGGAUAAGGAGAAAAAGGGUAGGCAUCUUUACAAAUUACAACAAGAAAUCGUAGGGAAAAAGAAUAGUUAUAUAAACAGACAGGAGGAGGUAUGGUUCUACAGAAUGAGGAUCGGUCACACUGCUCUUAACAGUAAUUUAUUUAUCAUGAACAAACAUCCAUCUGGAAAUUGUGAGGUUUGUGGAGUAAGAGAGGAUGUAGAACAUGUUCUGCUAAGUUGUGAAAGAUUUUCUAGACAGAGAGGAAAACUGAAAAGGACGGUUAGUGCAGAAAAAAGAGUUUUCUCCUUGGAAACGUUAUUGGGUGAGCCAAGAGCAGGAAGUAUUACUGGGUCCAUAGUGUCAUUUAUUAAAGAAACACAAUUAGCGAUUAGGAUUUAGAACUCUUGUUUUGUUUUGAUUUAUUUGGUUAUACUGGUUUUGUUAUAUUUUAUUUUUAUAUUUUAUUUGAUUCAAUUUUCUUUAAAGAUCCCCAAUGAACUGCACCUCAGUCCAGUAGAUGGCGGUAAUACACGUAGCUUGUAAACCGCCAUAAAACUCUACAGAAAAAGAAGAAGAAGUCCAAACAGAGAGUGCCCUCAAGCAACUAGUUCCACAGGCUACAGGAGUAAUACAAAAGUCAUAAAUAAUCUAGAACAAAGUAAUCUCCAAAAGGGCUCCAUGGGGCAUACAUCCAAGACAGGGAAAUGAAUAACAUGAACCUACAGUGAAGCAUAUACAGGUUUGUUUCAAAAAUGCUGUGGCAGUUUAUCACAUUUUGUAGUGUUUUUACAUAAAUGAUAAAUAAGUAUUUUAUUGUUUGCCCAUUCUACAGAACUGAGUUCUAAGUCCGGUGCCAUCUUGAUAUCAUCAUAAAAUAGAUUUUGUUUUAAUUGUUUAUAUGUAUAUACCGGUACAUAUAUAUAUAUAUAUAUAUGUAUUGGAAGUAUGUAAG